CGCGGGAUGGCGAAACCACGGCAGACGCGCCAGCUUGAGGGGCUGGUGUCCGAAAGGACGUGAGAGUUCAAAUCUCUCUUCCGCGACCA
rnacentral:tRNA from 1 species